rnacentral:RNase_P_RNA from 1 species
AAAGCAGGUCGUUCUAUCGCAGCAUUGCUGAGGAAAGUCCGGGCAACAAAGGGCGCCAUGUUUCCUAACGGGAAGUUGUCGCGAGGCAAAUGAGCGUAACAGAAAAUAACCGCCGCGCUUUCGGGUGCGGUAAGGGUGAAAAGGCAGGGUAAGAGCCUGCCGGUUCCUGUGGCGACACAGGAGCAGUACGCAUCAUGGGUUGCAAGGCCAUGUACACCGUCGCUUGAGGACUGCCCGUUCGAUGACGGGGGGUAGGCCGCAUGACUUCGGCAGUGAUGCCGGAGCAAGAUAAAUGAUAGAACCCGGAAAACCGGUGACAGAACCCGGCUUAUAGACCUGCUUUUUUU